UUCAUUUGAGCGUUUUUGACGCUUGGCGUUGCCUAUUUGUGCGUGUUGUUGAUAUCAAAACGAUUUGCUUUCAAGUGACUAUUGUGUAAAUUGUAGAGGAUAAAAAUAUAUUUGUACCGUGUGGAAUCAUGAAUAUUACACAUUUUAACACAAAAAAACAUCUUUGCGAGAAAUUUCAUUCGAAACUAUAAUUAGUGUCGUCGCGUGUGGUUUUGCGAUAGCUAAGUUUAGAAAAGGGGCCAGUUAAAGGUACAUUUAGUUGUGUAUUAUUCGUAAACAUGUCUACGAGGAGCAGAAGAAGUCGACAGAGUGCUAUAGACACGAGUCCGUCUCGAAUUCGCAAAGGGGUAUCACCUUCGGUUUCUCCCGCCAGAACGCAAAAGAGCUCCGCUCCGCGUUCCCCUUCUAGGAGGUCCCCUUCUCGCAGAUCUCCUAGUAGGAAAGCUACUACUUAUCCCGUACGAAAAUCGCCGUCGAGAGCCGUAAAAGAAAAAAAUGAAAAAGAUAUCGAAGAAGUCCCAAGAUCGCCAGCUAAACGCCCAGCUUUGAAGAAGGAGGCCGAACUUAGGCUAUACGACAUAUCUUCGACUAAAGAAACUUUCCGGAGCACUCGCACUCGUCGCUCGGAAUACUCCGUGAGAGAUAUUCCCGAAACAGUGGCUAAUGUUCGAUCUAUGAUAGAUGAGAAACUAAACGGCUUCGAGGCCUCCGAUUCUAUAACUGAAUUGUACAAUUUAAGGAACAGGAAGACUGUAGAUGAAACCGGCCCGAGGAGGUCGAGUAGAUUGAGAGAAUUUCUUGACCCCUCGGAGAUCAGACGGAGCUUCUCAAAGUCAAUGAGCAAGUCCAUCAGUAAAUCUAUAAGUACUGCCCCGACAUUUUCCGAUGAAGAAAAUCUAGAUGAGCUGCCAAAAGAAAGGAAAUCAGAAUCAGUCACUAGAAAACUGUCUACACCGCUGCCUAGUAUUGGUCUGUCGCAGUUUAAUAAUAAGUUAGAAUUUGGGGGCCGAAUUGGCACUACCCUACUAAUAUUUUUAAUACCAUUAGUAGUAUUUGCAAUAUUGUUGUCAUGUAGAACUACAUGUUCAUGGAAGGUACUAACUGCUUUAUCGAUUCAAAGGAUUGCAUUGAUUGACAAAGAUUCUAUAAUACUAGUGCUCGCUCAAUAUACCCUUCAAGCACUACUCAUAAUGAUACCCUUGUUUGGUACAAAAGUGGAAAAAGACGGCCAAAACUUUUGCUUCAAUGGAUUUUUCAGUAGUUUCUGCACUUUGAGCAUCCUUAGCUCACUGGAUUACUACAAAAUAAUUAACUCGAAUACUUUUGUUGAUAAAACUUUGCAAAUGGCAGUUAUUGCAUACGUGGUAGCAAUAAUUAUAUCACUGAUAUUAUUCAUGAAACAUUGCAAUUUGGAAGAGGAUUUAAACCCAUAUGGCCACCCGCAGUAUGCUUUAUACAAUUUCUUUAUUGGAAAAGAAAUUCAUUCUACUAUACUGAAUGUGAACAUAAAAUUGUGGCUUUCAAGAGUUUGCAAUAUUACUGCUCUUAUUUUAUCUAUAUCAGUAUUUAAAAGUGGAAUAAGUUUUAAGGAGAAUAUUGAAAUUGUAUCUGUAGAAGAUCUAUACAAGCUUACCAAGCAAAUCAAUUUGAAGCCCACUUUACUGAUAUAUGCUAUGAUGCAAAUUAUAUAUGCUUUGAACUUCUUGAUGAGGGAGUACAAGAUAACGGCGACUUUCUAUUGGCAAUCCGAGGGACUCGGGUAUUUGCAAGUAGUUUCUAGUGCUCUCUAUCCAUAUUACUUUGUUACAAUAUCAAAGUAUGUAGCAAAAGCUGACUUGUCCCUGCCGGCUAAUGUGUUGAUUGCUGCUUGUGCGCUAUAUGCCCUGGGUUUCCUCAUAAUGCUUAUCAGUAACAACAUUAAGUACAACUUCAGGAAAAAUCCACUUCAUCCUAGCUUAACACAUCUAGACUCCAUGCCAACAUUCCAUGGAAAGAAAUUGCUUGUAUCCAACCUCUGGGGAUUUCUACGCCAUCCAAACUAUGCUGGAGACAUUUUGAUACACGCUGCAUUUGCUAUACCUGGGAUUUAUAGUCAACAAGUGUUAGCUGCAGCGCCAGCUAUAUUGACAAUAGCUGUUCUGCUCCACCGUGCCUGGAGAGACCAUGGCAGAUGCAAGAGGCGGUAUGGAGCAGCCUGGACCAGAUACUGUAAGAGAGUGCCAUCCAUGGUCAUACCAAAAAUAUUCUAAUUUCUUUUUUAAAUGACAACUAAACUUUUUUGCUCUUUUGGCCAUGUCAAGACUAUAGAACAAUAAAAUUAUUAAUUAUUGUGUUCCCUAUUCCAAAAUAGCAAUUUUCUGAAAAGCAUUUUUUAAGUAGUAACAAUACUUAAAAGUAGGUUACCACAAAUAAUGUUGGUUUGUGCUAUACAUAUUUCGAGUAAAUUGAUUUAAAACCAUUUUUUAGUUGUUCUAUUAUUGGACAGCUGGUUUUUUGGUCUUGAAUUAGCCUGCAGAUGAAGGCAUGAUUUUGAUAUAUUAAAACAUCCAUGAUCCAAAUAUCACAACUUAUGCUUUAAACAAAUUGUUUAAGUUAGAACCUAUAGUUUUAUAUGUGUGAGAUAUUGAAUUAUACAGCUAAUAAAUUCAAAACCUUGGAACUUUUAUUACUAAGUAUAAAGUUUCCAAGGUAUUAUAAUAAUAAUAUUUAAAAUCUAUGUCACCUAUCAACUUAAUAUGAUAAACA